CUCUCGAAAUUCAGCAACUGCUAACAGCGAGGAGGGGUUUUGAAAGGUAAAGGCCAUUAGCUUGGAGGCAGAAGACAGACCUCCCUGACUGCUGAAUUCCUGCCGGCCUGAAAUUGGAGCAUUCCAAGCUCCUCAGAUGAGUCAUAAGCCACCAAGAUUGUGAGCCUCUGGGUGCUAGCCAGGAUCACUCCCUCCGAAGUCACACCAGAGGGAGGGCUGGAGGGAGAAUCAAAUGAAAGAGAGAGGGAGAGAAAGGAAGGAAGAGAAGGAGGGAGAAUGGAAGGAUGUAUGGAUUUGGAUGUAUGGGUUCCAUUCCUUCUACCCUGGCAAAAGCUUACUCAUCCUUCAGUGUCCAUCCAAAAUGGCAUCUCUUCUUGGGCACCAUCUCCAGAGUCUCCUGCAAGCAGGUAGCUACAUCCCACAAAACAACCACCCAUCUGACCAUGCAAGUGUGUGGGGGAAUGAAGACCAGCCCAGGAAUCUGAGAUGAAUGUUUUGCUUCUUGCUCUGCCACUGACUCACAGGGUACCCCAAGCAAGUCCCUUCACCUCCUCGGUCUCAGUUUCUCCAUUUAUACUACUAAGGCAGUGGACAUGAUGGCCUCAAGUCUCAACAUUUUUAUUCCCUGAAAAGAAACUCUUGGUGCUGAGUGGUCUUCUUCUGCCCUGACAUCUCACCUUUCAAACGCUUGUCUCUUCUCACCCCACCCACCACUUAGCAUGUGCUCUUGGAGAACACCCAGGACUCAGGGUCUCUGCACACAUCAUGAGUCCAGCUCAGCAUUUGAGGUGGAAUCAGAGGAAAGGAAGGAGAGUGGGGAGAAUAGUCAGUAUUUUGGCAAGCUCAUCAUACCUUCCCCCUUUGUAUAGAAACUUCAAACCAUUUCCCUUUGAAGGCACUACCUCCUUCCCCCAGUUAUAAAUGAGUGAAGGUCUCAAGCCUGGACAACCAAAUGCACAGUGAUUGGUUCAACUCUGGACCUGUGACUCAAGCCAGACCAAGGGAGUGACAUGCAGGGCUUUGCCUGGAACUAUUCUGAAAGGGGCACUCUCUUUCUGCUGGGCUACUGAUAAUAUGUGCAUCCGUGAUAGAAGAGCCUGCCUGAUAAUAAAGCCAAUAAGGGAAGAGCAGAGCCAAGAGAUGGUGGGAGAGCAGAUGCCUGAAAAUAUCAUUUGAGCCCCUGGGUCCAGCUGCACCUGAAGCCACCACGAUCUCCUGGACUUUGCAGUUACUUGAGUUCAUAAAUACCCUUUGGCAUUAAGCCAGAUUGAGUCUUAAUGCAUAUAGAAAUAAGAGAAAUGAGAAAAGAAAUUGAAAAGAGAGACAGCAGAGAACUGAUUCUCUACUAGAGCCUCCAGAAGGAAUCAACUCUGCCAACACCUUGAUUUUGGACUUGUGGCCUUCAGAACAGUGAAAUGAUAAACAUCUGUUAUUUUAAGGUACCUAGUGUGUAACAUUCCGUCAUGACAGCCCUAGGAAAUGAAUACAGCGAGGAAAAUCCUACCAGCACAAAGGCAUGGAGGUGCCAGGAUGUCUCCUCUGCGUGAAGAGUAGAUGUAGAUGAGGCUGGAAUUAUCUAUCCUAGCUGCCCAGACCCAUGUGCCUUUGUUUUAUGUAGUUACAGCACCUAUGAUACAUAUUUGUUACCAUGUAUGUCACUAUGAACCUCCUCUGGAGGACGGAGAAGUCAAAUACCUUAAUUAUUCCAACACAAGCUUGCGUGAACAGAUAAUCAUCACUACGAGUAUAUUGUGUGCCUGCUAAGCACCACACCUGAGAUAAGCAUUUGCUGUGGUUUGAAUGUCCCCUCCAAAGCUCAUGCUAAAAUUUAAUUGCCAUUGCAACAGUGUUGCAAGGUGAGAACUUUAAGAGAUGAUCAGGUCAUGAGAACUCUGCCCUCGUGAAUGGAUUAAUACCCUUAUCGCAGUAGUGGACCCCCCUUUUCUCUUGCUGUCUGUCUCUCAUGUUAGCUUGUGCUUCCUCCUUUCACCAUGGGAUAACACAGCAAGAAGCCCCUCACCAGAUGCUGGCACCUUGCUAUUGGACUUCCGGCCUCCAGAACUGAGAAAUACAUGUCUUUUCCUUAUAAAUUACCCAGUCUGUGGUAUUCUGUUAUAGCGGCAGAAAAUGGACUAAGACGGCAUUUUGCAUACAUUAUCUGUCUUAUUAAAAAUAAUGUUUUUGCCCAGGAACAUAGAUUCAAGUUGCCCUGAAUAUACAUUAUCUCCCUACAUUAUCUCUUUUAAUCCUCACCUAUUAGGUAGAUAAACUGCUAUUAUCCCCAUUUUGCAGGUGAAACCUCAAGCUCCCAAAGAACUGCAGCAUCGAGGAAAGUAAAACCAAUAGCUAGCAUGUUCAGUAGUCCCCUUUACCCAUGGUACAAUACAGUACGCUAAGAUAUUCUGAGAAAGUGAGAGGCCGCAUUCACGUAUCUUUUAUCGCAGUAUAUUGUUACAAUUGUUGUAUUUUAUUCGUUAUUGUUGUUAGUCUCUUAUUGUGCCUAAUUUAUAAAUUAAGCUUUACCACAGGCAUGUGUGUAUAGGAAAAAACAGUACGGAUGCUCCUCAACUCACAAUAGGGUUAUGUCCUGAUAAACCCUUCGUUCAGUUGAAAAGAUCUUUAAGUUGAAAAUGCAUUUAAUACCUCUAACCUACCAAACAUCAGAGCUUAGCCUAGCAUACCUUAAACAUCCUCAAAACACUUACACUAGCCUACAGUUGAAAAAAAAUCGUCUAACACAAAACCUAUUUUCUAACAAAGCACUGAAUAUCUCAUCUCUUAAUUUUAAUUUUUUUUUUUCUGAGUAACAGGCUGCUCUGUUACUCAGGCUGGAGUGCAGUGGCAUGAUCAUAGCUCACUGCAACCCUGAACUCCUGGGCUCAGGCCAUCCUCCCACCUCAGCCUCCUGAGUAGCUAGGAUACAAGUGCGUGCCACCACACCUGGCUAAUCUUUUAAUUUUUAUUUUUGUAGAGACGAGGUACUGUUUCCCAGGGUGGUCUUGAACUCCUGGCCUCAAGUGAUCCUCCCACCUUGGCCUCCCAAAGUGCUGGGAUUACAGGCGUGAACCACUGUGCCCAGCUUCUUCUUAUAUAUUGAAUACUGUACUUAAAGUAAAAAAUUGAAUGGUUGUAUGGGUACUGUAAGUAUGUUUUCUGCUGAAUGCAUAUCACUCUCACACCAUUGUAAAGUCAGAAAAUUAUAAGUCUAACCAUCAUAUGUUGGGGACCAUCUGUGUAUUACUAUCCAUGGUUUUAAGCAUCCACUAAAAGUCUUGAAAUGUAUCCCCCUCAGGUCAGGGGACACUGCUGUAAUAAUAAAAACAGCUUGCACUUCCACAAGAUUCAGACGUGCCAGAUAGUGGUCUAAGAGCUUUGCAUGCAUGUUAAUUCAUUUCACUCUCACAGUAACCUGAUGAGGGACUUACUAUGAUUCUUCCCAUUUUACAGGUGAGGAAACAGAAAUAAAAAGACACUAAGGGCUUGCUCAAGCUUGAGCUGGAAUUUGCACCCCGGCAGCCUCACUCUAGCUGCCUGUUACUUACUGCAGGCCUGUCGGGUGCCAGGCACUGUGCUGAGCAUUCUACAUAUUUCAUCCUCCCAGCCUCUCAGUGACCAAGUGCAGAAACCUGUGACCAUUUCAUACUGAAUAUUUGAAGGAUAAGCAAGUGAUCGUGGCACACAAAGGGACACUUACUUUGGUGCUUCCUUCAUCCUUAUUUGGUUUUGGACACAUUCCCUGCCUAACUCACCAGACUCCCCAAGGGCAUGGAACAUGUCUAAUGGAGCCUCGGAUCCCGCAUGUAUUGCACGGUUCCUGGCACGUAGUAGAUGCACAUGUUUUCGAACUGACCCAUCAUCUACAUGCGCUCUUGCAUGUGACAUGUCCUGGGAGGCCUCCUCAUCUCAUGACUGCCACAGCCAUGCUCACUGCCCAGGGCACCAGAAGGCAGAAGGCUGGUGAAGCGAUUUGGCUGAAUUCACUGCCUCCCUCUUGACGGAGGGGCUGAGGUGAGGAGGGAGAGGUGGCAGCAGGAUCCACUCCACUCCAAUGGUGCCCAGAUAGACCUAUACAUCACCCAACACAAAUAGAGCCACUCUGAGCAGUAUUGAGCGGAGUGCAGGCAGACAGUGCAAGGGAAGCUGGCCUCUUCAUCCA
rnacentral:lncRNA from 1 species